rnacentral:snRNA from 14 species
GUACUGGCCUUUUGGGCUAAGAUCAAGUGUAGGGUGAGGUCUGUCCCUUGUACUCCAGGUAGGCUGACCCCUAUGAUUCUCCACAAAUAUGGGGAUCUCAACUGCACAAUUUUGUGGUGAUGUGGGGCUGCGUUUGUUCUUUGCCCCU